rnacentral:sRNA from 1 species
CGUCCUUCUUCAGUGCGGGCUCCGACCAAUGACGGUCGCCCUUUUAGGUUCUUAGCCCGCCCUCCAAGUGCGCUACAGCCGUUGGGUCAGAAGUCUAUAGGGCAGCGUGUUCACGUGGCCCGUUUUCACGACCCAGAGUUCCCCUGGCCGUGGGUUUUUUUUUUUUCCCCCACCUUCUUUCCCUCGCGCUCUCCUUCUCUCCUGCAGGGAGGCAUUAUGGGUUUGUGGGUCCGUUCCCCCUCCCCCGCCCCCGCACCACAGGGAAAGGAAGUGCCGACGUGGCCUGCGGAAAUAGGAUAGGCGGAAAUGAGCUAAGGUUCCCGGGAGUGGGAAGAGCGAGGUCAAACCAGCGCCACGCCCCCGAGCCUGUUGCGCAACCCUCAGAACGGGAGAAAAAAAAAAAACCCAACCAAACCAAAAGGAAAAAUGAAGGUUUUGAGGUGUAUGCGUGUGAGGGUGGUAUUUCUACACAUGUGUAUGUGUUCAGAAGUCAGAGGCACUGGAUCCUCCGGAGCUGGGAUUACUGGCUGUUCUGAGACACCUGACAUGGAUGCUGGGAACCUAACUCGGGUCUUCUGGUAGAGCAGCAAGUGGUCUUAAUGGCUGAGCCACGUCUUCAGCUGCAAAGGGGAAAGGUUUUUUAGAGCGGUUCUCCAAAAAUCAGAAGCAUCAGUAAAACUCGGUGCUUCAUCUACAUGUACGUACGUCUAUGUAUCUUGUAUGCGUCUGCAAGAGGCCAGAGGAGGACAUCAGAUUCCCUGAGACUGGGAAGGUUUGCUGGGCCCAUUUUACAGAUAAAGAACCAGAGGUAAGCAAAACAUCUCACAAGGAAUUAAAAAAGUGAUAUGGGUAAGUAAAAUUAAAAAAAAAAUCUUCCUAGCAUAUCAGUAUAGGAUCCUGUACCCCGCUAUUCACCUAUCCUCCCAACUAGAAGAUACAACUACAGAAUAUAGGUAUUGAGAAAAAGUUCUGAGGGAGAAACUUAAAUCCAACUGUAAUUUCUGUUUUUAUAAAUCCUAUUAUUUCUCCUUUUAUCCAGUAAAUCUAAGGAAAUUAUGUGGAAAUAUUUCCCAGGCUAGAAAAAAAAGUAAUUUUAUACAAAAGAGAGCAUGUAUUUAAUAAAGUAAGCUGCUCUUGGCUCUUUUUAAUAUCUAUCUUUUUAGCUUGCCCAGCAAAGAUUAGUGCCCUAAAAUACAAGGAUCAAAGAGGCCUGGGUUUGGAUAUUAGGUAAGUCCUGAAUGGUGACUGUCUACAUGUUGGGAAGGGACAACACGCCAUUAAAUAUCACUUGCUAUUUCCAUGGUUAUUGAACUACAGUUGAAUUUUUUUCUACUCAUCUAGGAGCCAAGUGCUGAAAGGCUAGAGAAGGAAGCUGGGAGAUAAUGCUCAGUGUAGAAGACAGGAUAGAGUAAUAUAAAUAUGGAAGUGAGGCAGUCAGGGAGAAAAGAAAUUGGAGAUGGGGCAGAGCAUUCAGUGGAAGCUGGAGAGGUGAGCAAGGUUCUGAAAGUAAGCCCCUGAGAGGAUUUGUUGGUAUUUUGUCAAUUUUCUAGUUCUCAAGUUACUGUAUUAAUAAUACCAAGGAUUCUUGUCUAUCCAGUUCGACAGUCUUUGCCUUGGGCUGGUAUGUUUAGAGCCAGGAGCUAACCCUGCAGGGAUGAUGAGAAUAAGUGUUUCACCCUUUCCUCUAAAUCACUUAGACCAUCUGGGAAGGUAAAGUACAUGCACAAAACAUCAUUUCCUGCCACAGGAACCAUGCAGGGGAGACAAGUGGUAUAGGAGGUAGUACUAGGGUCAAGAUGAGAAACAUUGUAGUAACUAGUAAUCUUUUUUACUGGGACAUCAACACAAGCGUUUUAGGUAGGAAAGGGUCUGCAGUAUUUGACAAUUGUUUUUCCCUAGGAUUGUAAUAUUAAAAAACAUUUAAAAAACAUGCGAACUAUGAAUUGAAGAUUUUGGUUCCUGGAGACAAGUUUCAUACAACUAAAGACGAGGCUGAGAUGGUUAUUUUGUGAAAAGGGGCCCUUGUUUUUUUUUUUUUGUUUUUUUUUUUUGUUUUUUUUUUUUUUUUUUUUUUUUUUUUUUUUGUCUUGUCUCCCUCCUACCCCUAUUAUGAGGCAGGAAAAUCUUAUAAGCAGGUCUCUGAAGAAAGAGUCUUAUUCAAAGACAUGUAAUUGUAGAUCAGUCCACUAGAGGGCUCAUCCCUUGGGAACCAUGAAAGAACUAAAGAGAGGAAAAACUAGGAAUUCAGAAAAAUCUGGGAGCCCUGUCUUCCCCAAAAAGGAACCAUACCAAGAAAUGUGAAGUCAUAUAGAUAGUUUGUGUGAUCAUUGGAAGUUAUAAUAGUGGAGUGCCAGGAGCAACUGAGGUAGGAGUUGACUUAGGAAGAACAAAGAAUCCUUGUAUUAGUAUGUCUCAGAUAGGCUCGAGUCAGAGUGUGUGUGUGUGUGUGUGUGUGUGUGUGUGUGUGUGUGUGUGUGUUACUGUGGAUCAAACCUAAGAUUUAUAAAUAUAUGCUUGCUUGGCAAGCACUCUGCCGCUGAGCUAUAACUGCUGCCCCCUAGAGUCAGGAUUUUAGCAGUGGGUUCAGGUAACUUGUUUUCUGUCCUCCAAAAGUAAUUAUGUGCUUUGCCUUUUGAUUUUGAAGCCUCUGGAUUAGACAGAAAACAUGGAGUGAAAGCUCGAGACAUUGUGUCUCUAAAGAUUAAGCAACCAGUACCAAGGCUUUCUACCUUGCUCAUAAUUGGAGCUUGCUUUUCUCAGGGUAGCCUAGGCACUUCUGUUGUCAUGACAACUUACCUAGUGUCUAUUGUCUGGGCAAUUGAGGGAAAACUGCUUCUGUUGUCAUGACAACAACUUCCUCUUCUAUCUCCCCUUGGAGAUCACUCUGUUC